CAGCCGCCGCGGGAAUACGUAGGGUGCAAGCGUUAAUCGGAAUUACUGGGCGUAAAGCGUGCGUAGGCGGUUUGUUAAGUCUGUUGUGAAAUCCCCGGGCUCAACCUGGGAAUGGCAAUGGAUACUGGCAAGCUAGAGUGUGUCAGAGGAUUGUGGAAUUCCCGGUGUAGCGGUGAAAUGCGUAGAGAUCGGGAGGAACAUCAGUGGCGAAGGCGGCCAUCUGGGACAACACUGACGCUGAGGCACGAAAGCGUGGGGAGCAAACAGGAUUAGAUACCCCGGUAGUCCCUGUCUCUUAUAC
rnacentral:rRNA from 1 species